rnacentral:rRNA from 1 species
CCUCCGGGAGGCAGCAGUGAGGAAUAUUGGACAAUGGGUUAGCGCCUGAUCCAGCCAUCCCGCGUGAAGGACGACGGCCCUAUGGGUUGUAAACUUCUUUUGUACAGGGAUAAACCUUUCCACGUGUGGGAAGCUGAAGGUACUGUACGAAUAAGCACCGGCUAACUCCGUGCCACCAGCCGCGGUAAUACGGAGGGUGCAAGCGUUAUCCGGAUUUAUUGGGUUUAAAGGGUCCGUAGGCGGAUGCGUAAGUCAGUGGUGAAAUCUCACAGCUCAACUGUGAAACUGCCAUUGAUACUGCGUGGCUUGAGUGAGGUUGAAGUAGCUGGAAUAAGUAGUGUGGCGGUGAAAUGCAUAGAUAUUACUUAGAACACCAAUGGCGAAGGCAGGUUACUAAGUCUCAACUGACGCGGAGGGACGAAAGCGUGGGGAGCGGACAGGAUUAGAUACCCUGGUAGUC